rfam:Triticum aestivum genome assembly, contig: Triticum_aestivum_CS42_TGACv1_scaffold_532242_6DL
CAACUACUCCCUCUAUCCCAAAUUCUUGUCUUAGAUUUGUCUAGAUAGGGAUGUAUCUAAUACUAAAAUGUGACUUGAUACAUCCGUAUCUAGACAAAUCUAAGACAAGAAUUUUGGGACGGAGGGAGUACUUU